GACGAACGCUGGCGGCGUGCUUAACACAUGCAAGUCGAACGGAAAGGCCCUGCUUUUGUGGGGUGCUCGAGUGGCGAACGGGUGAGUAACACGUGAGUAACCUGUCCCUGACCUUGGGAUAUCUUCAGGCAACUUGAGCUAAUCCCGGAUAGGAGCUCCUGCUUCUUGGUGGGGGUUGGAAAGUUUCGGCGGUUGGUGAUGGAAUCGCGGCUUAUCAGCUUGAUGGUGGGGUAGUGGCUUACCAAGGCUUUGACGGGUAGCCGGCCUGCGCGGGUGACCGGCCACACUGGGACUGAAAUGCGACACAGACUCCUACGGGAGGCAGCGGUGGGGAAUAUAGCACUAUGGGCGGAAGCCUGAUGCAGCAACGCCGCGUGCGGGAAGACGGGCUGCGGGUAGUAAACCGAUUUCGCCUGUGACGAAGCGUGAGUGACGGUAAUGGGUAAAGAAGCACCGGCUAACUACGUG
rnacentral:rRNA from 1 species